CCCUAGUAACGGCGAGUGAAGCGGGAAGAGCUCAAAUUUAAAAUCUGGUAAUCUUUGGUUGCCCGAAUUGUAAUCUAGAGAAGCGUUUUCCGUGCUGGACUGUGUACAAGUUUCCUGGAUACGGAACAUCAUAGAGGGUGAGAAUCCCGUCCUUGACACAGACUCCCAGUACUUUUGUGAUGCGCUCUCGACGAGUCGAGUUGUUUGRGAUUGCAGCUCAAAAUGGGAGGUAAAUUCCUUCUAAAGCUAAAUAUUGGCGAGAGACCGAUAGCGAACAAGUACCGUGAGGGAAAGAUGAAAAGCACUUUGGAAAGAGAGUUAAACAGUACGUGAAAUUGUUAAAAGGGAAACGCUUGAAGUCAGUCACGUUUGCUUGGACUCAGCCUUACUUCGGUUUGGUGCAUUUCCUUGCAGACGGGCCAGCGUCCAUGUUGUUUGCCGGAAAAGGGGUGAGAGAAUGUGGCUCCUUUGGGAGUGUUAUAGCUCUCACUCGUAUGCGGGGAACGAUAUGGAGUGGUACAGCACACUUCGGYGGUGCUUGUGCUGGCAUAAUGGCUUUAAACGACCCGUCUUGAAACACGGACCA
rnacentral:rRNA from 1 species